ACGAACGCUGGCGGCGUGCCUAAUACCUGCCAGUCGCACGCAUUUUCUUUCACCGUAGCUUGCUACACCGAAAGAAAAUGAGUGGCGAACGGGUGAGUAACACGUGGGUAACCUGCCCAUCAGCGGGGGAUAACACUUGGAAACAGGUGCUAAUACCGCAUAAUUCCAUUUACUGCAUGGUAGAUGGAUGAAAGGCGCUUUUGCGUCACUGAUGGAUGGACCCGCGGUGCAUUAGCUAGUUGGUGGGGUAACGGCCUACCAAGGCUGCGAUGCAUAGCCGACCUGAGAGGGUGAUCGGCCACACUGGGACUGAGACACGGCCCAGACUCCUACGGGAGGCAGCAGUAGGGAAUCUUCGGCAAUGGACGCAAGUCUGACCGAGCAACGCCGCGUGAGUGAAGAAGGUUUUCGGAUCGUAAAACUCUGUUGUUAGAAAAGAACAAGGAUGAGAGUGGAAAGUUCAUCCCUUGACGGUAUCUAACCAGAAAGCCACGGCUAACUACGUG
rnacentral:rRNA from 1 species